GGUCAUCGCUCAGAGGUGAGUAACGUAUCUCCUGCCUGCUGAGAGUUCUGUGUCUCUCUUUUUCUGUUCCCAAUCUCUCCUGUCUGUUCUUUGCUUCUUUUACUGGAUGUGCUCUUAUUAGCUGAAGUUUUUGAACCUUACUGGGGAUCCGGUAACAUGCUGGACUUUGUAACCAUUUUUACGCUUUUAAACUUCCGCAAACUAUUACUGAAGAAUUCUGCUGCCUGUGUGUGUUUUUUUUACUUUGAACUAUAUGCAUGGGAGUUGCACUUCCAGCUCCUGUUAGGUAAAGAGUAAAGGGGCCCCUGACCAUUAGGUCCAGUCGUGGCCGACUCUGGGGUUGCAGCGCUCAUCUCGCUUUACUGGCUGAGGGAGCCGGCGUACAGCUUCCGGGUCAUGUGGCCAGCAUGACUAAGCCGCUUCUGGCGAACCAGAGCAGCGCACGCAAACGCCUUUUACCUUCCUGCUGGAGCGGUAUCUAUUUAUCUACUUCCCUUUGAUGUGCUUUCGAACUGCUAGGUUGGCAGGAGCAGGGACCGAGCAACGGGAGCUCAUCCCGUCGCGGGGAUUCGAACCGCCGACCUGAUCGGCAAGUCCUAGGCUCUGUGGUUCAACCCACAGCACCACCUGCAUCCCUUCCAGCUCCUGUUACUCUGCUGCUUUCCGUCCAUGCCCUGGAGUUGCUGUGCUCAGGCAUGGAGACAGGGGGUGGUGGUGACUGACCAGCCCUGUCAGGGACAGGAUACCUCAACAGUUGAGCUGAGCCUGGAUAUUCAGAAGUAGCAGGAAGUAUGUGAACUGGCCACUCAAGAAGGAACAGGGACCUAGAGAGAAGACUGAAUGACUUAAAGACGACGUACCCUGGCAGGGCAGAUCUGUGUCACAUUAAUAUUUUGAUAGCUGUGUUGUAAAUUGCUCAGGGACCAUAAUCAAGGACGGGCAGUUCAGAAAUUGAGUUAAUAAAACAAAACAAAAUAGGAGUAGCAAAUGUAGCAAUAAUGUACAAGUUCUGUGCCAAUGCUAAUAUUACAUUCCCCAAGGAUGUAUCUGUUCUGGGAUUAUUGAUUUCAUAAUAAUAAUUCAAUUUAUAUACUGCCCUUUAUCAAAAGAUUCCAGGGCGGUAUACAACAUUAAGAACAUAUUUUAUAAUAUGUUUGUAUUAAUAAUAAUACAAACAUAAUACAAAGCAUAAUAAUAGACAGCAUAAUAAAAUAAUCAUAAUAACAGUCCGGUCCCCCCGCCUUUAACAGGCCAUUGAUUAUUUGAUGGCUGGCCUGGGUAAAGAGGAAUGUUUUUGCCUGGUGCCUAAAGACAUGUAAUGGUCUCUCUGGGGAGACCAUUCCACAGUCAGUCAGGGAGCCACCAAAGAAAAGGCCCGUUCUCGUGUUGCCACCCUCCUGACCCCUUGAGAAGGGGUGACAUAGAAAAGGGCCUUAGAUGACAAGGUAAAAGAUUUACAUGAUCUGAAGAGAAAGCAGAGCGCAAGGUCUGGGUCAGUUCAUAUGGGGAUAGGCAGUCCUUAAGGUAUUGUGGUCCUGAGCCAUGUUCCUCAAGUGGCCCUUCUUCUUAGAUUAUUCCCUUGACUGUGGUCAAAAAGUUCCUUGUGCAUUUAGAGCUGGUGUAUCAUUACAGUGGUACCUCGGGAUGCGAACGGGAUCCGUUCCAGAGCCCUGUUCGCAUCCUGAAUAGAACAUUAAGACGCGACGGCGCAUCUGCGUGUGUGCGGGUCGUGUUUUGCUGCUUCCGUGCAUGCGCGUGACAUCAUUUUGAGCGUCUGCACAUGCGCGAGCGGCGAAACCCGGAAGUAACACGCUCCGUUACUUCCGGGUCACCACAGAGCUCAACCUGAAAGCGCUCAACCUGAAGCACAUUCAACCCGAGGUAUGACUGUACUUAUUCCAAAUUUAACAAUGAGAUUUGGAACUAAGCUUAGGAUAUUACUCCCCAGCCUUUAAAAAAAAGAAAAUACCGUACCCAAAAUUGAAUCAAACAAACUCACUCCAUUAUGUUUGCAAAGCAUGAACUUAUCCUCAUCUCUAGGACGUGGUCAUUCCAGCUCAAGUUUGGAACAGGUCAGUGAUGGAAAGAGUGGAAGGUGGCACAGGGGAGAGGCUGGAGGCCUCCUCUCCACAUCUCACACCAUUCUUCAGAGAAACAGAGAUCUUCAGUUUCUACAGCAGCCAGUCUACUUGGCUCCUCUCUUAGUCACUUAAAAACCACCCAUUGCCAAAAUAAAUGCUUUACUAUUAAUAGAUGGCAAGCACUGCAGAAUUUAUUGAGUGCAUACCUCUUCUUGCCUACUGGAAAAGGAUCAAAACAUCAGCCCUUUUGUCUUUAUGGUAAUCAGCCAUGCCACCUUGAGCUGAGAGCUAGCUGGUUCCUGCAAGCACAGAUGGUUCAAACUCGACCAGCAAAGAUUGGCACCCAUUGCAACUGCUGAGGCAGAGGGAAGGGCGACUCAUGGUUGGUGAAGCCAGGGGUCACAGUAGGUGGAGCUAACUAAAUAUAUGCCCUCCUGCAGGGCCGGAUUUAGGUCUGAUGAGGCCCUAAGCUACUGAAGGUAAUGGGGCCCUUUAUAUGUCUAGCUGUCCCUUGCCAACAACAAAUUGUCACUAAUUUUUGUGUUGAGUACAGUCAUACCUCGGGAUGAAUACGCUUCAGGUUGAGCAUUUUCGGGUUGAGCUCUGCGGCAACCCGGAAGUAACAGAACGCGUUACUUCCGGGUUUCGCCACUCAUGCAUGCGCAGAUGCUCAAAAUGACGUCACACGCAUGCGCGGAAGCGGCAAAACAUGACCCAUGCAGACGUGCAGACGAGUGUUACGUUCGCUUCAGCGCCAGCCCCACAAGCUCGGGGGACAGUGGGGAGGCGGAGUGCCGCCAUCCCGCUGUUCCCCGACCUGGUUUGGAUUCCCCGACCUGGUUUUGGGGGGGAAAUAAAGGAAUUUUUUUUUGCUUUAUUUCCCCCCAAAAAAACUAGGUGCGCCCUAUGGGCCAGUGCCCCCUAUCGGGCGAAAAAUACGGUACAUUUUGGGGCAGUGGCCAUUUUCACAAUCUCGGCCAAGCUGUUAGUAUUGGCAUGUGCCACGGCCAACAUUACAUAAACACACACACAGGCCACACAACUGGCAAUGUAUAAGCAUAAAAUUGGAAGGUGUUCCUUGAUAUAAAACCUGAAAUCUUAUUUUUCAGCUACAGAGCAGGAUACUUAAUAGUAAAAUCAGCAGCGGUAUAAUGUGCUUUCAAAGGAGAAAGGGCUUUCAAAUGAGAAACAAAACCAAGUAUGGCAAGAUGCUUUUUGAAACCUAGGCAAGUUUCUGAAGUACUUUGAGACUGUGUGUGGGUCCAUACAAGCUCCUGUUUGUGUCUAAAAUAACUUCUUGGUUUGUGGCCAGUCUUUCAUGAAAUGUAGUCACCUAAGGAGCCAGUAACUCUCAAUAGUGGAACACGAAAAAGUUAGAUAUAAAUAUAACUAAGGAAACGUCUGAGCAAAUAAUGAUAAGGCACAGAAUUCCCCAAAAGGAAAUCAGUUUCAAGUGAUCUAGAAGCUGUUGCCACAUAAUCUCAAAGAUAGAAGUGAUAGAUGGGCAGGAUGCUUCUCAAAAGUCAAACAUAAAGAUCUUUCCCUAAACCAGGUAAAUUCUCCAUUCUGCAUUCCCCCAUCUAUAGCACAAUAUCCGCCCAACCUUUUAAAAAACACUUACGCACCCAGAUCUAGUGCGCAAAUUACAAGUGGAUUAGGGACUUCACUUCCACAGCAGAGGUAGUCCCAUAUCCAACAAUGGAAGUAGUUCCAUGUGAAAAUAUAUACCUACAGGCAAUGACCAUUUUACACUUAUUCAGUGUGCGCACGAUUAUGCAUGUGCGCAUUGCUGCAAUCUGGAAGUGGGCAAAAAAGGGGGCAGGGUGGGACGUCAAAGGCAGGCUUAUACACACUUGGGGGUCAGGAAUGCAACCCCCACACAAAUGGGGGGUGGCCUGUACACAUAAGCCUAGUUCAGACGUCAUAGUAAACCACACUUAAUGGUUUACUGUGAAUGCACCAAUCAGGGCUGUUUUGGUCCUCAUAGGGAUCGUACUUCGUUUUGCUCAAACCAGCCAUGAUGAGUAAGCCAGACAAGCCUUAGGUACAGAUUUUGUUUUCUCGGGAAGAAAGCAAACCGCAAUCCCUAGUUCGGACAUAAUGCAGAGCCAGAAGUCAUUGUUUAUUUCCUCUGUGCAGUAGAAGGGAAGAGCAAAGCAGUCGAGAUCAGUGCAUUAACAGUAAAUCAUUAACUACCAUGAUAAGCAAAUUGGGCCAUAGUGAAUAAUGCAAGUUAAGAUACAGAUCUCUCAUUCUCACCUGUAAGAGGGAAUGCCUCUUCUGAGGUGGUACUUGCUCUGACACACAUACAUGUACCAGCUAAACUUAAAUAAUGUCCUUUUCCUUCAGAACUAGUGUUUCAUUCAUAUGUAAAUCUAAACAGGUUUGGUUAAUUAAAACUCACCAAGUGACAACCCUAAUUAAAAUUAGUUUGAAGAAGGAGUCUAGAUUUCUGCCAAAAGAAAAGAAUAAUAAGUUUCAUGGUACAGCUACAUGUCCAUAUGGACUACUGCAAUGCGCUCUACGUGGGACUACCUUUGAAGGUGACCCGGAAACUGCAAUUAAUCCAGAAUGUAGCAGCUAGACUGGGAGUGGCUGCCGGGACCAUAUAACACCAGUCCUGAGAGAUCUGCAUUGGCUCCCAGUACGUUUCCGAGCACAAUUCAAAGUGUUGGUGCUGAGCUAUAAAGCCCUAAAUGGCCUUGGCCCUGUAUACCUGAAGGAGUGCCUCCAGCCCAAUCGUUCAGCCCGGACACUGAGAUCCAGCACCGAGGGCCUUCUGGCGGUUCCCUCAUUGUGAACAGUGAGGUUACAAGGAACCAGACAGAGGGCCUUCUCGGUAGUGGCGCCCGCCCUGUGGAAUGCCCUCCCAUCAGAUGUCAAGGAAAUAAGCAGCUAUCCUAUUUUUAGAAGACAUCUGAAGGCAGCUCUGUUUAGGGAAGUUUUUAAUAUUUAAUGCUGUAUCGUUUUUAACACUCGAUUGGGAGCCACCCAGAGUGGCUGGGGAAACUCGGCCAGUUGGGCAGGGCAUAAAUAAAUUAAUAAAUAAUAUUAUUAUUAAUACAAAGUUCAGAUAAGCUAUUAAGGCUGAAGUGGAAGGAGAUAUUGCCAGUGUGGAAUCUGGCCAGCUUUGCAGAAACCACAACCCAUACUGGAUGUGUGUUUACAACUCAAAAGCCCCCGUUUACCAUUUUGCUUUUUAAAAAAGCUUUUGGUGUUCUCUCAGACCAGGGAUGGGGAACUUGUGACCUCGCAGGUGUUGCUGGUCUAUGACUCAAAUCAUCCCUGACUGGGGCUGAUGGGAGUUAUAGUCCAACAGCAACUAGGGGCCCUUUUAUAAGAGUCACAAACAACCUGAUCGAGGUCAACAGGAAAAAGAAUCGAAGGAACAGUGCUGGCUGAAGUAAGCAAGCCUGUGGAGUUUCUUGUCCUUGGUCUUUCCUCUCAUUUGUAGGUAAUGACAUCUGCAAUGAUAGCUUCGAAUCAAAUGUGUGUCCUUGCAUUCCACUUCUUCCAAACAAGGAUGAGGGGGAAAGGCAGAAAAGGGGAGCUGCUAUCUCGGUCUGUUGCUCUUAUCACAGGCCUGCGGUGGCUGAAGCUCUGCAGCUGGCAAGGCACUGCAGAAAGGAAGUUUAAGAAACUGGCUUUGGCCAGCAGCUGUUACAGUUCCUUACCCCCUGUCACUCAUAGAAAAGGGGGAAGGAAAUAAGCCUUGAAGAGAAAUGAGGAACAUCUUUUCUUUGUCAAGGUAGGAUUCCCUCUACAUCCACUCCACACCCUUUGGCCUCAAAUCUGUUAUUUCAUUUAUAAAUGCCCGCAUAGAGGGGCAGCUUCUUAAAAAUUCCUCCAUGCCUUUAUCUUGAUUUGCAAUUAUGAUUUUUCAAAGAGAGAUCCAAAACACACACACGUGUAGGCAGUGACCAUUUUAAAAAAAUGUAAAGGAUCCUGACAGUUAAGUCCAGUCGCGAACAACUCUGGGGUUGUGGCGCUCAUCUCGCUUUACUGGCUGAGAGAGCCGGCAUUUGUCCGCAGUUUUUCCGGGUCAUAUGGCCAGCAUGACUAAGCCACUUCUGGAAACCAGAGCAGUGCACGGAAACGUCGUUUACCUUCCCACCGGAGUGGUACCUAUUUAUCUACUUGCACUUUUUGUUGUGCUUUCAAACUGCUAGGUUGGCAGGAGCUGGGACCGAGCAACGGGAGCUCACCCCAUCGCGGGAAUUCGAACUGCCGACCUUCCGAUUAGCAAGUCCUAGGCUCAGUGGUUCAGACUUUAGGCAUAUCCAAUUGACAUGUGACCACCAAUGCACAGGUUCUUUGGGACCCAGAAGAAGGAAGAAUGGGGGUGGAACGAGGGGUUGUACGCUUAUAUGCACUCCACUGACAUGUGCAGGGGUCAGGAACAGAGCCCCUGUGAGAAAUGGUUGCUGCCUGUACCCAAAACUGUCCUUUCUGUUUUGCUAAAAACCUGCUGCUUUGUUGAUACAUAUUGUGCCUCCCCCUCUCUCUGCUGAACAGUGGCAAAAGCCCAUGUGGUCCUUUGGAGAAUGGAGACACGGUGGAGACUUUAAGCAACUGCAGCUUUAAGAAAUAUGGUUUAUUAACUUAUUUACACCUUCAGUCUGCAUAGAGGGAGUCCAGCUUGGUCAUUUCAAGAGGGAUGCGUUCCCCCACAGCAGUGCAGCCGGCCUUCAGCCAUCCUGCCCAAAAUGGAUCCCAGUCUGCUUCCUCCUUCUUCCUCCCAGCAACCCUUGCUCAAAACUCACACCCAGUUACCCUGGCAAACUUCCAAACCCAUUCUUUAUUCACAUCUCAGAUGAAGUGGGUGGGGUGAGAAUAGAGGUCCUGCAUUGCCAAUGGCUCUCAAUAGUUCCUUAAUGGCCCUGGCUUAACCAGGUUCUUUUGCAUAGGCUAAACCAGGAAUUCCUCUGCAGCUUAUAUUUCACAUCCCAAAUAAUCAAAAUCCUAGCAUUUAUUUGAUUUCUAGAGUUUAGAGGGUCCGCCCAGUCUAAUACAAUAUGUUCAUCUACAGUGUUAACAUAUGUGCCUGUUUUGAGCAGCAAAAACUUCUGACCCAUACUUUACACAUUCUUCUGCUACUAAAGUUUCCCUGUCUUCUGUUUUGAUGGCCUUGCUUUAUGUCUUUGGUUUAAGUGGACUGCCUCAUUCACACAGAUAAAUGUGUGCAUUUUCUGUGCCUAGAUCACGUUUCCCCACCGGGUUACCUCCAGAUGUUGUUAAAACUAGAACACACAUCAUCCUUGCCCACUGGCCAUUUUUGCUGGGGCUGAUGGCAAUUGGAGUCCAACACUGGGUUGAAGAAGACUGGUCUGGCCAGGCCACUAUACCUAAGAGGAUGAUAGGCAGGGGAAGUGCUACUGCCACCAGUUUUGCAACCGCCUUUCUUAGGAACUGGUCUAACAUCCUUGAUAGUCUUCAUGGACAACCUUAGUAGGAACAGGAAGACUUCUGCACUGUCUGGACCUGUAGAGCAAAAGAAGAUGCAACUGGACAAAACGAAAAGGAACAACCCUUCCGCUGCGCCCCAAAAGAGGACAAAUAGAGUAGGCAUUACUAGUUCAUGGGGGAGUGAAAGUUGCUCAUUGAGGAAAGCUGACACUCUCUGCAGAGCAGUUAUAUGGUUCAACUAUUUACUUUCCAGAAUUGCCUGGAGACUUCAGACAUCCUACAGGUGGAUGCGGACACAGCUGAAACAAAAGUGUCGGUACAGAUAGCAUUACAAGCUUUGUCCAAUGUACAAGAAACUCCAGCAAUGAGACUGGGAUACUGCUGCAAAAAUGACAUUUUGGAUCUUUGCAACCGACAUCAUUAAGCCACUUCAUGCAAUAAUACUUUAGAGAUGGGAAACAUGCUUAGUUGCACUGUGUGGGGAGGCCAUGCACACCUGUUCUCCAACAUCCAACCCUCAUAUUCUGUAAAUCUAACCUUGGAAGAUGGACAUCCAAAUAUGAAUAUGACAGUCCAGGAGCCAAGUUCUGCAUAGGCUUCCUACAUUACGUGAAAGCACAUCUCCUGAGUACCCUCGCCUCAGGGAAAAUUACUGUGGUGUAUGACGUAGCAUCCCAUGGACUGCAAGGAGAUCAAACGUAUCCAUUCUUAAGGAAAUCAGCCCUGAGUGCUCACUGGAAGCACAGAUCCUGAAGCUGAGGCUCUAAUACUUUGGCCACCUCAUGAGAAGAGAAGACUCCCUGGAAAAGACCCUGAUGCUGGGAAAGAUGGAGGGCACAAGGAGAAGGGGACGACAGAGGACGAGAUGGUUGGACAGUGUUCUCGAAGCUACAAACAUGAGUCUGACCAAACUGCGGGAGGCAGUGGAAGACAGGAGUGCCUGGCGUGCUCUGGUCCAGGGGGUCACGAAGAGUCGGACACGACUGAACGACUAAACAACAACAACAAAUGACGUAGCCCAUUGGGUUGCAAACAUCUGACAAGGCACAGGAGAUGUGUGAGACCCAAUAUCCAAA